GUACACUCCUGCGGGAGGCAGCAGUGGGGAAUAUUGAACAAUGGGCGCAAGCCUGAUCCAGCCAUGCCGCGUGAGUGAUGAAGGCCCUAGGGUUGUAAAGCUCUUUCACCGGUGAAGAUAAUGACGGUAACCGGAGAAGAAGCCCCGGCUAACUUCGUGCCAGCAGCCGCGGUAAUACGAAGGGGGCUAGCGUUGUUCGGAUUUACUGGGCGUAAAGCGCACGUAGGCGGACUAUUAAGUCAGGGGUGAAAUCCCGGGGCUCAACCCCGGAACUGCCUUUGAUACUGGUAGUCUUGAGUUCGAGAGAGGUGAGUGGAAUUCCGAGUGUAGAGGUGAAAUUCGUAGAUAUCCGGAGGAACACCAGUGGCGAAGGCGGCUCACUGGCUCGAUACUGACGCUGAGGUGCGAAAGCGUGGGGAGCAAACAGGAUUAGAAACCCUGGUAGUCCCAU
rnacentral:rRNA from 1 species